GAUGAGCGCUGGCGGCGUGCUUAACACAUGCAAGUCGAACGAUGAAGCCCAGCUUGCUGGGUGGAUUAGUGGCGAACGGGUGAGUAACACGUGAGUAACCUGCCCUUAACUCUGGGAUAAGCCUGGGAAACUGGGUCUAAUACCGGAUAGGAGCGCCUACCGCAUGGUGGGUGUUGGAAAGAUUUAUCGGUUUUGGAUGGACUCGCGGCCUAUCAGCUUGUUGGUGAGGUAAUGGCUCACCAAGGCGACGACGGGUAGCCGGCCUGAGAGGGUGACCGGCCACACUGGGACUGAGACACGGCCCAGACUCCUACGGGAGGCAGCAGUGGGGAAUAUUGCACAAUGGGCGAAAGCCUGAUGCAGCGACGCCGCGUGAGGGAUGACGGACUUCGGGUUGUAAACCUCUUUCAGUAGGGAAGAAGCGAAAGUGACGGUACCUGCAGAAGAAGCACCGGCUAACUACGUG
rnacentral:rRNA from 1 species